rnacentral:sRNA from 1 species
AAAAAACAAGAUAAAAACAGUGUUGUUUUUAUCUUGGUUUAA